CAGAUGCACGCCACCACGCCGGCUAAUUUUUGUAUUUUUAGUAGAGACGGGGUUUCACCAUGUUGGCCAGGAUGGUCUCGAUCCACUGACAUCGUGAUCCGCCCGCCUCGGCCUCCCAACGUGCUGGGAUUACAGAUGCGCCGGCCAGGCAGUCCUGUUAAGCCAUGCCACACAGCUUAAAAAAAGACACUGGCAAGCUCAAGUCCCGAAGUUACCAGCUGAAGGAAGAGACUUAAACCAAACCAAGGGCUUCCUAUGACAGUUCUGAAAUACCCUCUUCCCUCUUGAGUCCAUACAACUGAGAAAAUAGAACGGCCAGUCACCGUGGCUCGUGCCUGUAAUUCUGGCACUUUGGUAGGCAGAGGCAGGCAGAUCACCUGAGGUCAGGAGUUUGAGACCAGCCUGGCCAACAUGGUGAAAGCCCGUCUCUACAAAAAUACAAAAAUUAGCCGGGCAUGGUGGCGCAUGCCUGUAGUCCCAGCUACUCGGGAGGCUGAGGCAUGAGAAUUGCUUGACCCGGGAGGCGGAGGUUGCAGUGAGCUGAGAUCGUGCCACUGCACUCCAGCCUGGGUGACAGAGCGAGCCUCUGUCUCAAAAAGAAAAAACAACAACAAAAAGGGAAAACCAAAGGUAAAAUUUGAUCCACAGGACUGGCCACAUUUCUACACUGGUAAAAUCAUGGCCUUGCUGAAGCAUUGAUCAGGAAGGGAUAAGACCCAGAGAAUCCAAAUGGAGACAAAUGAGAGGAUUUGGAAAACCUGAAGUUCUCUGAAUCACCCAGUCCUCAAAGAGCCUCCUUCGUCAGCGGAAACCCUCUUCUCCAGUCUUCUGACACACUUCGUAACGACACUGCCAUUUCUUUGCAUCCUUUGCAGUCUCACUGCAAGAGCAAGCCAGUUCUCAUGCAUUACCCUCGACUGUCUCCAGAAUGGACAGUUAGAUCCCAGCACUUCAGAAAGAAGGACAAUGGCAAGCUCAAACCAGCGAGGAUCAAGAUUAGAAACCAACAUGAUUUUGGGAUUUUCCUAACUAAGGGUGCUUAAUAAAUGGGUGGAAAGGUAUCAUUUUACACUGGUCUGAUGUUGUUGAUAUACAUUGCAGAGAUUCUGGAUUGACUGUGCUAGCAGGAGAAGCUGGGAGUGACUUCUGAGCUGGACUGACCACUGGACGCCAAGUGAUUAUCCCUAAUGUAUUACAUGUCAUUUGCAACCCAAGCUGUCCGUCAUGUACUGGGCCAUCUGACACACUCAUAAAAUCCCAUUACCAACUGGAAAUGGUUUAUGUGGGACUAGCUCCUAACCAGGUACUGAAGGCACAAGUGCAUUAUAUGCAUAGGUAGAUCAUUCCCUGUGUGCCUACCCCUGACCCUUUCAUCAAUCUAACACCGGCCUCAAAGGGGUUUCCCAAGAGCUAGUGACUAAGAGAGGAAAAACCACUGAUCCUCAUUUACAGAUAGCUUCACACCAUAUGCUUGCCUACCUUUUUUUUUUUUUUUUUGAGACGAAGUCUCGUUCUGUCGCCCAGGCUGGAGUUCAGUGGUGCGAUCUCAGCUCCCUGCAACCCCUGCCUCCCGGGUUCCAGCAGUUCUCCUGCCUCAGCCUCCCGAGUAGUUGGGAAUGCAGGUGGGUGCCACCACGCCCAGCUAAUUUUUGGUAUUUUUAGUUGAGACGGGGUUUCACUGUGUUAGCCAGGAUGGUCUUUAUCUUCUGGCCUCAUGAUCCGCCCACUUCGGCCUCCCUAAGUGCUGGGAUCAUAGCUUAUGUGUAAUGAUUUCUUUCUCCAGGCACAUCAUUGCUUCAACUGAUUCAUGAGCAGAAGAGUCUUUGCUGGCAACACAUGAACUGUGAUGGAUUCAAUCACUUAGGCUUUCCAUUAUCAAUGCAGACCUGGCCCCUGGGUGCACAGGGUUAUCAGUGACCACCCCUGAAUGCCGCAACUGACCAGACUCCAGGGACACCAUGGACUACUUAGUUGCAGACUGAUGACUUUGGACCUCUUCCAUUAUGGAAAGGGCAGUGAUUUCUUUUCACUGAAACAGGCUCAUGUCUGACUUUGGAACUGACCUCUCUGCCUGUAGAUCAUCAUGGCAUGCUCUACAAAAUUGCUUCUGACAACGGAAUUCACUUUACAGUGAAAGAGGGAAAGCAGUGGGUGAUACCCUUGUCAAUGGAUCCUGUCACCCAGAAGCAGUCAUCUGUAUUCAGCUGUGACAUGAUUUAUUGAAGAUUUCAUUUCAGGACUGAGAGACGAUCAUACCUAAGGAGAUUGAAAUAUCGUCCUUUAAGAUGCUUGUUUGUUCUGAACUAGGGAACAUCACGUGGUGCCGUUUCUCCCACAGCCAGACUAAACAGGUCUGGAGGAAGGGGAAGUAGGCACGGUGCAACUUCCAUCUUACUUAAUGACUCUCACUCUCUUCAACUUUUUUUCCACCAAUUAGCGAUUUUAUUCCCAGGAAAGGAAGGUUGCACCAUUGAGGCAGCUGACCGUUGGGGUGGCUCCCUUUGGAAAGGGGAUAUAAAGUGUUUGUAUGAGUGAUGGUUCCAUUAAAGCAGACAUUUUUUAAAAAGGUGAAAUUUGGGGAAUUAGAGUGAAUAUAGAUGUUGAACAGAAAAAGAGUGAUAUAGCAAUAGUCUGGACAUGUGGGCUGGCCACCUGGAAUUUCACAUGCCAUUAGGUCAAAAAAGUGGGUUGACAAGGCUGGCUGCAGUGACUAGUCCUGGGAAAAUGCUGCUAUACCACGGGAGACAGGCCAGGGUGGAGGCUAUGAAUGAAACUCAAGUGGUUCUCUCAGGAGCCGCCUCCUCCUCCUCCUCCAGCGGUGGGAGUUAAGGGAAGACUGUUACCAUCAUGCAUAUGGGCAGGGCCUCCUUGGUCUCUGUGCCCUUAGGAAAGAGGAAUAGGGUCACGGCUAGUAGGUCACACCCCAGUCAUCUAAGGUACUGGCUGAAGACAGCAUGGACUUGGAAUGGAAACUGGAAGCGGGAAACCUAAACAUCAUCCAGGGUCUCUUCUCUAGGGCAGGAAAUGGGUGCUGUAGCUUCUACUUGUACUUCCUGUGUUGUGUGUAUCCUAUUUUAACUCAUUGCCUCUCUUUCCUCUCCCGUUAUUCGUUUUAUUGUAUAUGGGAUGAACGGUUAUGGUUAACUUUACACUUCAGCUCAAAGAUACAGAAUAAUGAGAUGGGCUUGUUAUCCCACGGAGGUGGGGUAUCCAUUACUCACAGACCUUGAGUACAGGAGUUGAAAGACAUUGGGGUAACCCCGUUGGAAAGGGAAUGAAAGAAGUUUUGAUUGUAUGAGGAAUAGCUACAUAUUUUAAGCAAGAGUUUUUUCUUUAAGUAAAACUAGAGGAAUUAGAGUAUAUGUUGAUAUUGAACAGCAAAAGAGUAAGGCUGUAAUGAACUUAAUAGACCCUUUUUUUUUUUUCUAUUUUGGCUCUGCACCAUAUGAACUCAUUCCCAAAUUUGGAAAAUCCACUAUUUUGCGAGUCUUGGGAAGGGGCAAGAUCAGCUAGUUCAUGGGCACAGGAUCUAAGCUCUGGCAGCUGGAUGUUCUGAUCUAGAACUUCGAAUGUGGAGCCAGG
rnacentral:lncRNA from 10 species